CGAAGCACAGAUGUAGAAUUUCUUCGGAAAGGAAGCGCCUGUGACUGAGUGGCGGACGGGUGAGUAACGCGUGGGCAACCUGCCCCAUACCGGGGGACAACAGCUGGAAACGGCUGCUAAUACCGCAUACGUUUUCGGUGCCGCAUGGCGCCGAAAAGAAAACUCUGGUGGUAUGGGAUGGGCCCGCGUCUGAUUAGCUAGUUGGGAGGGUAACGGCCUACCAAGGCGACGAUCAGUAGCCGGCCUGAGAGGGCGACCGGCCACAUUGGGACUGAGACACGGCCCAGACUCCUGCGGGAGGCAGCAGUGGGGAAUAUUGCACAAUGGGGGAAACCCUGAUGCAGCGACGCCGCGUGAGCGAAGAAGUACCUCGGUAUGUAAAGCUCUAUCAGCAGGGAAGAAAGUGACAGUACCUGACUAAGAAGCCCCGGCUAACUACGUGCCAGCAGCCGCGGUAAUACGUAGGGGGCAAGCGUUAUCCGGAUUCACUGGGCGUAAAGGGAGCGCAGGCGGCGCGGCAAGUCUGAUGUGAAAGCCCGGGGCUCAACCCCGGGUCUGCAUUGGAAACUGUCGAGCUGGAGUGUCGGAGGGGUAAGCGGAAUUCCUAGUGUAGCGGUGAAAUG
rnacentral:rRNA from 1 species